GGUAUAAGAUAGUAUAACUAGAUAGUAUAGACCGUAUAAGGGUAAUACAGAAAAAAAUUAUUAUCUUUUUAGUUAUCAUUCUCUUCUCAUAAUUUGAUUUUCAUCCCUUCAUUCACUCCCCUUCUCCUUUCUAUCACGAGCAAGCGACAGCACCUAGCGUUUCUUGCGCCGGCGCCGGCAUCGCCGCUGGAGAAUCGUCCCGCGCACCCCGCUCGGUGCUCGACUCCGCGGCGGCGGCGGCCCCCGCGACCCGUGGCCCCCUCCUCUUCGAAUUGAGACCCGGCGCCUCGAAUCUCUGAUUCCCCUCCGCCGCCCCUGCCCAAAGCCGGCCUCGGGUUGGAGUUGGACGAGGGGCCGCGGGCCGCCUGUCCGUCGCCGCCCGUUCCACGAGAGCCGCCGGCCACGGGUUGGACAAGGGCGCCGUGGCCCCGGACCCUGACGGCCGUACCGACCUGCAGUGCCUCGGGCUGGCGAGGGCGCUGCAGCCGACGGCCUCGGUGCAAGCGAUGGAGAGCCCGUCGAAGCUUGACGACGAGCAGUGGCAAGCACGACUUCACCGCCGGCAUCGGCUCCAGCGGCAAGGUCAAGAAGGACGACAAGUCGCCAUCCUCUUCUCCCAAGGACAAGGAGAAGCCCAAGAGCAAGUUCCUCGCCUUCGUCACCCCCAUGAAGGAUCAUGAAGCUUACUGAAGCAGGGUGCGGUGACCUGAUCCCUGCGGCUUGUCGAGGCACAGCCUGUAGUGUUUCUAGUGUCCAGUUGUGUUCAUGCUCUUCACUUCAAAUAGAGCUGUCUGAUGUAUAAGUCGAUCCUGCAUGUGUGAACAUCUAGCAGAAGUAUUGAAUGGAGACGAGAGCAAACUUUCUGUGUU